AUCCUUGAUAUCGGUGUUAAGAGAGCGUAUAUCUUCUCCUGCUGGAGGCUUCGGCCUUAGCUAUGGCGAUAAACGGUAGAUGAAAUAAGUGUUGUGGACCCGGGGGCAGUGCCCGGCGUCUCCACCAUCAACCUUUUAGGUUGGCUUAGGGGGACGAAACAGGCUCGACACGCAUGGUAAAGAUCUACUUUUUGCCCGGCAUUGUACCGCCGUUAUCGGGCUAAUUUUACAAGUGCCAACGAUAACUCUGAGGUGCUCGCUGUUGCUGCAUAAGCGAUAAGCGCGGUCCGGGGGGCACCGGGCAACAGAAGCCCCCCACC
rnacentral:tmRNA from 1 species